rnacentral:tRNA from 1 species
GAUGAAGUAAGUCUUCACUUACAAUGAAGAAGACCCAUUGGGCAUCUUUUUAGGUCUAAUGGGGUUGUAA